AUAUAAAGAUAUUAUAAAAAUAUCUAUUAUUAUCAAAAAAGUUAUUUUUUUCUUAUACAUUUUGAUAUCGUGCUUCUGGUUGUGUGUUGAGUCAUGUAAAGGCAAAUUUAUGUGGUUGAUUUCAUAUCCUUUAUGAUGAUUUACAAAGUGGACAGAAGACCAUUAGAAACUUCAGUAGUUUAAUUUGGGCUUACAGGCAAGAUUAAACCAGUAAUCUGAACAGAGCAAUUGUGACAUGGAAUUCAGCCUUCCCAAGAAGGUGCAUCAUGCAUGGUGUCAGAAUGUCAUUUUUGCCAAGGGUCAUUUCCAUCAGAGCAAAGUUUUUCAAAGUCUGAAAAAAUUGAAAUAAAUUUUAAUUACUUGAAAUGAAUUACUUGCCUUAGUAAUUUAUUUCAGGAUUCCUUACUGUAUUCUGUCAUUUAGCAAUACAGAGAGAACAGUGUAGAAACUUUUUUAUUAUUUUACCCAGUGCUAAGUCCUAGAUACAGCUUAGUUUCUUUCCCAAAUGUGUAUAUCCCCUCCAGACCUUCCUACAUCCCACCAUGAAAAAACUCAAGACACUGUGUAUAAAAAAUUAGUUAUCUAUGUCUUUGUGUCCCAGAGAUGGAGGCAGUAUUCUACCUUUAAACAUUUCAUGGGAGCUCUGGCAUAUAGAGAAGAAAGUAUAAUUGGAGCACGAGGAUGCCAGAGCAGGGCCCUGGAUGUAAGUGCUUAACAAGAUUCUCCUAAUCAUGAAUGAAAAUUUAUUUUAUGCUUCUUUGAACAUAUCAUUCUACCAGAAUAUGCAGAUAAAAUAACACCUAUUUUCUUUCAUCGAGGAGUUCAUAAACUGACUGGACAACUGAUUUAUCUUUCUUAUAGACAAAAUAUUUUAUGGGUAAAAUAAAUAAAUGGUUAUCAUUUCUUCUGGACCAUCAAGGAAUAAUACGAUAUUAACAAGCAGCCUAAGCAGAGGGAAUGUGAGGUAACAAUGCUAAUGGUGUGAUUUGAGUAUAGAAUGCUGGUUGGAGCCAGCAUUUUCCGAAGUAUAGGUUGCAACCCAUUCAUAGGUCAUGAAAUCAGUUUAGGGGGUCAUAGUUAAGAUGCUUUUAAUGAAAUAGAAUCAAAAGAAGAAAUAUUACAAAAAGAUUGUGUUACAUAUUUUUAGGAUAUGGAUUGAAAAAUGCAUUUCUUACUGGGACUUUGCCACCAAAAUAUGAAAGCAUAUCUAAAGAUGAUAGGUCUUUUAAAUACUCACCUUGUAUAAUCCUGACUAAGGGAUAUAUAUUUUUCCCUAUUUUAACAUAUGAGAAAGUUGAUUAUUUAAGCAGUUUGUCCCAGGUCAUACAAAAGGUAAAUGGUUCAGAUAGGAUGUGAAUGUCUAUCAAACUCCACAUGAAUAUUUCUCCCAUGAUUUGACAGUUUUGCAGGGUUGUGUGACUUCUUUUAUUUCACUGUAGAUAGCUCAUACAUUUAUAUCUUGUCUCAAACUACAGUCCUAAAUUUCCAAUUUCCUUAUUUACAUCUUCAACUAGGUAUCACACCAAUUUUUCCUUUUUUUUUUUUUUUUUUUUUGUCUUUUUGUCUUUUGUCUUUUGUUGUUGUUGUUGUUGCUAUUUCUUCGGCUGCUCCUGCGGCAUAUCGAGGUUCCCAGGCUAGGGGUCAAAUCGGAGCUGUAGCCCCCGGCCUACGCCAGAGCCACAGCAAUGCAGGAUCCGAGCCGCGUCUGCGACCUACACCACAGCUCAUGGCAACGUAGGAUCGUUAACCCACUGAGCAAGGGCAGGGACGGAACCCGCAACCUCAUGGUUCCUAGUCGGAUUCGUUAACCACUGAGCCACGACGGGAACUCCCAAGUCUUCUUAAUUUUUCUUUUUUGGUACCUCUGUCCUAGUCUGGUUUUCAUCUUCUCUUGCUUAUAACCUCUAAUUGGGAGAAAAAGGAGGAAAGAAGACCAGUUCAUUCUCAACUCUGUUGCCCCAUCAGUUUUCAUGAAGCAGGAGCCCUCAGAUCACAUCACUUUUAUUCCAACAAAACUUGAAUAUUCUAUACUAAUUACCAAGCAAUUCCUAACCUAUAUUCAUGACAACCUGAUAGCACCCACCUAUCCUUUUUUUGAGACAUAAAUAACUUUCUAUUUUUUUAAACAAUAUUUCUGGACAUGUCCUUUUUUUAACUAGGAAGCAAAUUCUUAGGGAUGGGGUCCAUAUUUAUUUAUUUAUUUAUUUAUUUAUUUUUGCUAUUUCUUGGGCUGCUCCCACGGCAUAUGGAGAUUCCCAGGCUAGGGGGUCUAAUCGGAGCCGUAGCCACCAGCCUACACCAGAGCCACAGCAACACAGGAUCCGAGCCGCGUCUGCAACCUACACCACAGCUCACGGCAACGCCGGAUCGUCAACCCACUGAGCAAGGGCAGGGACCGAACCCGAAACCUCAUGGUUCCUAGUCGGAUUCCUUAAUCACUGCACCACGACGGGAACUCCGAGAUGGGGUCCAUAUUUAAAUAACAAUUCUCAACCUAUAGAAUUUACUACAAUAGAAUCAUUAAUUCAUUAUUCAGCCAUCCUUAAUACUGGGAAUAUAGAGAUGAUCCAUUAGGGUCUCAUGGAAUUUAUAGUCUCCUAAGGGAAUCAGAAAUUAAAUAAGUAAAGAAAUAAUUACAAAAUUAGAAAAUAUAGUCCAUGAAAAGAGCUAAUAGCUAUGUAAGACAACAAUGGGUGGGGAAGAUCUAUUAUAUUGUCCCUUGGGUGCUCAAGAAAGAAUUCUCAGAGAAAGUGUCAACUUAAAGCUGAGAGUUGAAGGACAGAAGAAUCUGCUAGAUGAAGAAUUUGGGUUGGGGAUGGAAGCAUGAGAAGGAGAGACAGCUCCAGAGAGAAACAGCAUAGGCAAAGCAUUGAGGCAAGGACAAACUUUGUGUAGUCAGGAAAUAAAGGGAUUCUAGAGUGGCUAGAGAGAAGGGAGCAAAGGAGGAAAGUGACUGGAGGUGAGGUCAGAGAAGUAGCCAGAGUAGGGAAUUUGAAUUUUAUUCUGAAUACCCUGGAAAAGCACAUAGUAGAUAUACCUCAAAAAAAAAAAA
rnacentral:lncRNA from 1 species